rnacentral:rRNA from 1 species
UACGAAGGGGGCUAGCGUUGUUCGGAAUUACUGGGCGUAAAGCGCACGUAGGCGGAUAUUUAAGUCAGGGGUGAAAUCCCAGAGCUCAACUCUGGAACUGCCUUUGAUACUGGGUAUCUUGAGUAUGGAAGAGGUGAGUGGAAUUCCGAGUGUAGAGGUGAAAAUUCGCAGAUAUUCGGAGGAACACCAGUGGCGAAGGCGGCUCACUGGUCCAUUACUGACGCUGAGGUGCGAAAGCGUGGGGAGCAAACAGG